rnacentral:rRNA from 1 species
AGUGAACGCUGGCGGCAGGCCUAACACAUGCAAGUCGAGCGGAUGAAGGGAGCUUGCUCCUGGAUUCAGCGGCGGACGGGUGAGUAAUGCCUAGGAAUCUGCCUGGUUGUGGGGGAUAACGUCCGGAAACGGGCGCUAAUACCGCAUAAGUCCUGAGGGAGUAAGUGGGGGAUCUUCGGACCUCACGCUAUCAGAUGAGCCUAGGUCGGAUUAGCUAGUUGGCGGGGUAAAGGCCUACCAAGGCGACGAUCCGUAACUGGUCUGAGAGGAUGAUCAGUCACACUGGAACUGAGACACGGUCCAGACUCCUACGGGAGGCAGCAGUGGGGAAUAUUGGACAAUGGGCGAAAGCCUGAUCCAGCCAUGCCGCGUGUGUGAAGAAGGUCUUCGGAUUGUAAAGCACUUUAAGUUGGGAGGAAGGGCAGUAAGUUAAUACCUUGCUGUUUUGACGUUACCAACAGAAUAAGCACCGGCUAACUUCGUG